rnacentral:rRNA from 1 species
UAGGGAAUCUUCGGCAAUGGACGGAAGUCUGACCGAGCAACGCCGCGUGAGUGAAGAAGGUUUUCGGAUCGUAAAACUCUGUUGUUAGAGAAGAACAAGGAUGAGAGUAGAAUGUUCAUCCCUUGACGGUAUCUAACCAGAAAGCCACGGCUAACUACGUGCCAGCAGCCGCGGUAAUACGUAGGUGGCAAGCGUUGUCCGGAUUUAUUGGGCGUAAAGCGAGCGCAGGCGGUUUCUUAAGUCUGAUGUGAAAGCCCCCGGCUCAACCGGGGAGGGUCAUUGGAAACUGGGAAACUUGAGUGCAGAAGAGGAGAGUGGAAUUCCAUGUGUAGCGGUGAAAUGCGUAGAUAUAUGGAGGAACACCAGUGGCGAAGGCGGCUAUCUGGUCUGUAACUGACGCUGAGGCUCGAAAGCGUGGGGAGCAAACAGG